UGCGUAGGUGGCUUUUUAAGUCGGAUGUGAAAUCCCUGAGCUUAACUUAGGAAUUGCAUUCGAUACUGGAAAGCUAGAGUAUGGGAGAGGAUGGUAGAAUUCCAGGUGUAGCGGUGAAAUGCGUAGAGAUCUGGAGGAAUAUCGAUGGCGAAGGCAGCCAUCUGGCCUAAUACUGACGCUGAGGAGCGAAAGCAUGGGUAGCGAACAGGAUUAGAUACCCCCGUA
rnacentral:rRNA from 1 species